GGCCCCUACGGAGGCAGCAGUGGGGGAUAUUGCACAAUGGGGGGAACCCUGAUGCAGCGACGCCGCGUGGGUGAAGAAGCGCCUCGGCGCGUAAAGCCCUGUCAGCAGGGAAGAAAAUGACGGUACCUGAAGAAGAAGCCCCGGCUAACUACGUGCCAGCAGCCGCGGUAAUACGUAGGGGGCAAGCGUUAUCCGGAUUUACUGGGUGUAAAGGGGGCGCAGACGGCGAUGCAAGCCAGGAGUGAAAGCCCGGUGCCCAACCCCGGGACUGCUCUUGGAACUGCGUGGCUGGAGUGCAGGAGGAG
rnacentral:rRNA from 1 species